rnacentral:rRNA from 1 species
AAAGAGUUAAAUAAUUAAAAAAGUUAUUGUGGCACAAAUAUUUUAAAUAAUUAUUUUGAAAUGAAAUGUUAUUCGUUUUUAAUUAUAUCUAGUUUUUUUAGAAAAAAAUUUAAUUUUAAAAUUAAAUUAUAAUAAAAUUAAUUAAUUAAUUUAUUAUAAUUUAAUUUUUAUAUUUUAGGGGAUAAGCUUUAAAUUAAAUUUUUAUAAUUAAUGAUUUUAAAAAAGAAAUUUUAUGAUUUAUAUUGUUAAUAAAUUUUAGUUUAUUAUAAAUAAUUUUAUUAAAAAAAAAAAUUUAAUUAAAUAUUUAAUUUUUUAUAAAAAAAUAAUUUUUAUUAGUAAAAAAUUAAAAAUAAUGAUAAAAUUAGUAUAUUUAAAUUAAUAAUUUAAAAUUUAUAAUUGAUAAUUUAGUUAAUUAAAAGUAAUUCGGCAAAUCUUUAUAUUCACUUGUUUAACAAAAACAUGUCUUUUUGAAAUUAAUUUAAAGUCUAAUCUGCCCACUGAUAAAUAUUAAAGGGCUGCAGUAUUUUGACUGUACAAAGGUAGCAUAAUCAUUAGUCUCUUAAUUGGUGACUUGUAUGAAAGAUUGAAUGAGAUAUAAACUGUCUCUUAAUUAAUUUAUAGAAUUUAAUUUUUUAUUUAAAAAGUUAAAAUAAGUUAAAAAGACGAGAAGACCCUAUAGAGUUUGAUAAAAAAGUUUAUUAUUAUAUUAUUUAUAAAGUUAAAAUUUUUAUAAAUUUAUUUAAUUUAUUGGGGUGAUAAAAAAAUAAAUUUAACUUUUUUAAUUUUAAACAUAAAUAAGUGAUUAAAUGAUCCAAUAAUAUUGAUUACAAGAAAAAAUUCCCUUAGGGAUAACAGCGUAAUUUUUUUUUUUAGUUCAAAUAAGAAAAAAAGUUUGCGACCUCGAUGUUGGAUUAAGAUAAAAUUUAAAU